UUCCAAGUAGCAAUUUUUGGCCUGGGUGAUGGUCUUUAUUGUAGCUUAGUUUUCAAAGCCUUAUUAUACCAUCUGUGGUCAGAUGUUUACAUGCUCAGUUCAGGGUAUAGUCCAGCAGUACAUACGCAACUUCGUGGUAUUCAUCUCUCUCUCUUCUCACAUUCACUGUCAUUCUAACUCUUUCUUCAGCUCCCUCAUUUUUGCAAUCUCCAUAAUACUUCUCAAUUUCCUGAAGCCUCUUUUCCACAUCCUCUGGUGAAAAAGCCCAGGCUUUAGUUUACCUGUUCUUCUAUGUACUUCUCAUAACUGAGUUUGCAUUUUGAGCCAAAUAGCAGGAGGACAGCAAGAAGUCAAAGCAACAGGGAUCUCCCUUCUGUUCUUAGGAUCAUGACUCUUCUGUUAAAAAAAAAAAAAAAAAAAAAAGUUAGACUGGGUGCUGUCAAUACUGUCACAUUGGGGAUUAAGUUUAAACAUGAAUUUCAAAGGGAACAAACAUUCAAACCAUGAGAUCACUUUAUUUGCAUUUUUCCUUCAAUUCCCUUUUCAAUCCUAUGAAAUGUAGGCAUCACUAUUUCCAAUAAUAAUCAGAGACAUGGCUGGGCAUGGUGGCUAACACCUGUAAUCCCAGCACUUUUGGAAGUACAGUUGAGAGGAUUGCUUGAGCCAAGGAGUUCAAGACCAGCCUGG
rnacentral:lncRNA from 10 species